UCCGUAGGGUGCAAGCGUUAAUCGGAAUUACUGGGCGUAAAGCGUGCGCAGGCGGUUUUGUAAGUCUGUCGUGAAAUCCCCGGGCUCAACCUGGGAAUGGCGAUGGAGACUGCAAGGCUAGAGUUUGGCAGAGGGGGGUAGAAUUCCACGUGUAGCAGUGAAAUGCGUAGAGAUGUGGAGGAACACCGAUGGCGAAGGCAGCCCCCUGGGUCAAAACUGACGCUCAUGCACGAAAGCGUGGGGAGCAAACAGG
rnacentral:rRNA from 1 species